rnacentral:tRNA from 1 species
GUGCCUGUAGCUUAGUGUUUAAAGCACUCGUCUUAUGAGCGAGAGACCAAAGGUUAAAAUCCUUUCAGGCACA